GCCGGUGUAGCUCAACAGGUAGAGCGGUGGAAUCGUAAUCCACGGGUUGUCGGUUCGAGUCCGGCCACCGGCU
rnacentral:tRNA from 1 species